rfam:Solanum lycopersicum cultivar Heinz 1706 chromosome 1, whole genome shotgun sequence.
AUACUUACCUGGACGGGGUCAAUGGGCGAUCAAUAAGAUCCAUGGCCUAGGUUUGUGGCCUCCAUUGCACUUUGGAGGGGUGCCUACCUAAGGUCGGCUCAAGUGGUCGAGCCUACGUCAUAAUUUGUUGCAGCGGGGGCCUGCGUUCGCGCGGCCCCUAC